UACAGAGGUCUCAAGCGUUGUUCGGAUUCAUUGGGCGUAAAGGGUGUGUAGGUGGCGCCGUAAGUCGGGUGUGAAAUUUCGGAGCUUAACUCCGAAACUGCAUUCGAUACUGCGGUGCUUGAGGACUGGAGAGGAGACUGGAAUUUACGGUGUAGCGGUGAAAUGCGUAGAUAUGACAUAGAACACCGAUAGCGUAGGCAGCUUACUACACAAAUAUUGACACUGAGGCACGAAAGCGUGGGGAUCAAACAGG
rnacentral:rRNA from 1 species